rnacentral:lncRNA from 1 species
CGCCCUUCCUACGUCGGCGCAUCUUUCCGUAUGAUCUUGCAUCCAAUUAAUAGGAUCGAUAAUUCGACGGAGAGGAUCGUUUUUUUUAAUGUUUCACCCCGUGCAAAAUGUGUACCAUGUAGGUUCCACAUGUUAAUAAUGAUGAGCAAUUAUACCACUGCGAUUUGUCAUCUGUCUUGAUAUUUUUAUUACUUCAAUACGUAAAUGUUAAACCAUAUUUUUAUCCAUACCCUAUCUCAAUGAUUUUAUUGAUAUAGUAUACACAUACUAAAAUAAUGGAUUGAACAGCGUUUGGGAAUGAGA